GACGAACGCUGGCGGCGUGCUUAACACAUGCAAGUCGAACGGAAAGGCCCUGCUUUUGUGGGGUGCUCGGGUGGCGAACGGGUGAGUAACACGUGAGUAACCUGCCCUUGACUUUGGGAUAACUUCAGGAAACUGGGGCUAAUACAGGAUAGGAGCUCCUGCUGCAUGGUGGGGGUUGGAAAGUUUCGGCGGUUGGGGAUGGACUCGCGGCUUAUCAGCUUGUUGGUGGGGUAGUGGCUUACCAAGGCUUUGACGGGUAGCCGGCCUGAGAGGGUGACCGGCCACAUUGGGACUGAGAUACGGCCCAGACUCCUACGGGAGGCAGCAGUGGGGAAUAUUGCACAAUGGGCGGAAGCCUGAUGCAGCAACGCCGCGUGCGGGAUGACGGCCUUCGGGUUGUAAACCGCUUUCGCCUGUGACGAAGCGUGAGUGACGGUAAUGGGUAAAGAAGCACCGGCUAACUACGUG
rnacentral:rRNA from 1 species